AGCCUGUGAUGAUGAGAUUUUGCCAGAUGACUUCUGAUUAUAUCUUAACCGUUCCAUUUUAACUGAGGCU